rnacentral:rRNA from 1 species
CAGCCGCCGCGGGAAUACGGAGGGUGCAAGCGUUAAUCGGAAUUACUGGGCGUAAAGCGCACGCAGGCGGUCUGUCAAGUCGGAUGUGAAAUCCCCGGGCUCAACCUGGGAACUGCAUUCGAAACUGGCAGGCUAGAGUCUUGUAGAGGGGGGUAGAAUUCCAGGUGUAGCGGUGAAAUGCGUAGAGAUCUGGAGGAAUACCGGUGGCGAAGGCGGCCCCCUGGACAAAGACUGACGCUCAGGUGCGAAAGCGUGGGGAGCAAACAGGAUUAGAUACCCCGGUAGUCCCUGUCUCUUAUAC